rnacentral:rRNA from 1 species
CCUACGGGGGGCUGCAGUGGGGAAUAUUGGACAAUGGGCGCAAGCCUGAUCCAGCAAUGCCGCGUGUGUGAAGAAGGCCUGCGGGUUGUAAAGCACUUUAAGCCGGAAAGAAGGCUGCAAGGCUAAUAUCCUUGUAGAUUGACGUUACCGGCAGAAUAAGCACCGGCUAACUCCGUGCCAGCAGCCGCGGUAAUACGGAGGGUGCGAGCGGGCGUCGGGAUUGCGUGGCGGAAUCGUUGCGUAGGCUGUUAAAGCCCUGGGCUUAACCUGGGAACUGCAGUGGAAACUGGCGGGCUAGAGUAUGGUAGAGGAGGGUGGAAUUUCCGGUGUAGCAGUGAAAUGCGUAGAGAUCGGAAGGAACACCAGUGGCGAAGGCGGCUCUCUGGACCAAUACUGACGCUGAGGUGCGAAAGCGUGGGGAGCAAACAGGAUUAGAUACCCCAGUAGUC